GACACGCCCUUUACUGGCUUCCUUCUCUUGCCCAUCUCACUUGUCACUCCCUUAUCAGUGUUUCUGGGGUUCUCUCUAAAUUCUUAUCUCUGAGUCUGCUUCUAGGAGAACCCGAAUGAAGUCAAUAGGAAGGCCCUGGAGGAGGAAGGGUGACCCUUCAUUACUUUAAGCGAGCUCUGAGUGAGUAUUGACCCUGUGCAGAGACUGCUGGCACUACACGUGGAUCAGUGCAGUGAAGGCUCCCAAUGAGAAGCAGGCGGUUAUCAUUGACCACGUUUCACAAAUAAGAAAACCGAAGCUCAGAAGGAUGAAGGAAUCUGCCAAAGGGGACAGAGCUGUUCAGGCAUCCUGUUCCACUGAUCUCCUCCCAGACUCAGUUCCUCAGUUGAGUGCAAGAGUGGUGCCAUCUUUGGAGCUGCGCUGUUGGCUAUACUCAGCUUGGUUAGUUGAUCUCUCUGCUCGUCCUUGUGGGCUGAGUUUUCCAACUUCUUCAUCCUUAUUAUUUUUUAAUUCAAUAAUAAAAUGCUAUGAAGCACGACUUGGAUAUUUUUAUACUUCUGCGUGCUUGACUGUUUCUCUUCUUUUUUCCAAAUCCCUUUGGGUAUAGGGCCCCUUGUAUUCUCUGUUGGGGUAUCUGGGCUGGUCUUCUGCUCAGACUGCAAGGCCAGUUCUUGGAGUAGACAGUGGGAGGGCAGCUCAUUCUGAUUUAUGAGGACAUGAUCUGGGAUGGAGCUCUUCUGAAAAAUUUCAACUCUUUUACUGUCAGAAUCUUCUAGAAGGAAAUAAUUGAAAUCAGGAAUAAGUAGAACAGGCCACCUCUUGGCUCUUUAGUCUCUUUUCGGUCUUCUAACUCACGCAGUUGAAGUGCCAAGUCUCCACUCCCAGCUGCCAUGGACAUGCUAGCUGGCUUAGUGCUCGAAGCCUCAUGGAAGGAGAGGCUUCUUGUUAUAAAUUGAG
rnacentral:lncRNA from 1 species